GAUGAAGAACGUAGCGAAAUGCGAUAAGUAAUGUGAAUUGCAGAAUUCAGUGAAUCAUCGAAUCUUUGAACGCACAUUGCGCCCGCCAGUAUUCUGGCGGGCAUGCCUGUCUGAGCGUCAUUUCAACCCUCACGCCCCUAGGGCGUGGUGUUGGGGAUCGGCCAAAGCCCGCGAGGGACGGCCGGCCCCUACAUCUAGUGGCGGACCCGUCGUGGCCUCCUCUGCGAAGUAGUGAUAUUCCGCAUCGGAGAGCGAUGAGCCCCUGCCGUUAAACCCCCAACUUUCCAAGGUUGACCUCAGAUCAGGUAGGAAUACCCGCUGAACUUAAGCAUAUCAAUAAGCGGAGGA
rnacentral:misc_RNA from 1 species